rnacentral:lncRNA from 1 species
GCUAUAGGGCUUGAUGUGAUAUUGACUUAGUACAUACUGAUGCUUAUGGUAUAUUUGGCUCAUGCUAAGCCAAUAGUAUAUGUCAAAAAUUGUAGAGAUAAAAUUGAUAAGAGUUAUCUAUCCUUGAACUCAUAGAAAUUUGUUGUGCUAUCCACAAGACUUUUUAUAAGGAAUGAAGAUCUCAACCCCACUAAGAAAUCUAACGACAAGGUUUCUCAUUUUCUAUACUAGAGGGCUAUAGGAUUUACUAAAUAAGUGAGAGACAUGAUUAGAUAAAUGAUCUCAUCUAAUUAUGUAUGUCAUCAUGAGUAGUUCCUUUAUAUUUUAUUCUUAUAGUUUCAUCUGCAUCUUCACUAUCACUGCAUGGUUUAUUUGAUGUCAAUAAAUUGAUUGGAUCAAACUACAUGGACUGGUUGAGAAACUUGAGAAUAGUUCUCAUCUAGGAGAAAGUCUCCUAUAUCCUUAAUGCUUCUGAUCCCAAUCCGAUCGAGAAU